rnacentral:rRNA from 1 species
UGGGGAAUUUUCCGCAAUGGGCGAAAGCCUGACGGAGCAAUACCGCGUGAGGGAAGACAGCCCGUGGGUUGUAAACCUCUUUUCUCAGGAAAGAAGCUCUGACGGUACCUGAGGAAUAAGCAUCGGCUAACUCCGUGCCAGCAGCCGCGGUAAUACGGGGGAUGCAAGCGUUAUCCGGAAUCACUGGGCGUAAAGCGUCUGUAGGUUGUUUAGUAAGUCUGCUGUUAAAUACUAGGGCUUAACCCUAGAAAAGCGGUGGAAACUGCUAGACUCGAGUAUGGUAGGGGUAGAGGGAAUUCCCAGUGUAGCGGUGAAAUGCGUAGAUAUUGGGAAGAACACCAGUGGCAAAAGCGCUCUACUAGGCCAUUACUGACACUGAGAGACGAAAGCUAAGGGAGCA